rnacentral:rRNA from 1 species
CCUACGGGGGGCUGCAGUGGGGAAUAUUGGACAAUGGGCGCAAGCCUGAUCCAGCAAUGCCGCGUGUGUGAAGAAGGCCUGCGGGUUGUAAAGCACUUUAAGCAGGAAAGAAGGGGUGAAAGUUAAUACCUUUCAUCAUUGACGUUACCUGCAGAAUAAGCACCGGCUAACUCCGUGCCAGCAGCCGCGGUAAUACGGAGGGUGCGUACGUUAAUCGGAAUUACUGGGCGUAGUGUGCGCGUAGCCGGGUGAAAUCCCUGGGCUUGACCUGGGAACUGCGGUUGAUACUGUCGGGCUAGAGUGUGGUAGAGGGGAGUGGAAUUUCCGGUGUAGCAGUGAAAUGCGUAGAGAUCGGAAGGAACACCAGUGGCGAAGGCGGCUCCCUGGACUAACACUGACGCUGAGGUGCGAAAGCGUGGGGAGCAAACAGGAUUAGAUACCCUAGUAGUC